rnacentral:lncRNA from 1 species
UACACGUGACAUACGGGCCUAAUAGGCCAACAUAAUCAUUUAUAAACUCAAAACAUAGGUCGACAAGGCCGUACAAUCUUUCACGUACAAGACAUAUAUCUACAAGCCUCUAAGAAUACAUAAAUGUCAUAAAGGUCGGGACAGAGUCCCGCCAUACCAAACAAUACACGUCUAAAUCAUACUAACCAAACGAGUAACUCCGAAGCAAAUGGAGCGCACCAACAUCUUCCGCUGAGCUGAUAGUCUACUUGGAGGGCUCUCGACCUGUCUAUCGGGACCUGCGGGCAUGAAACGCAGCGUCCCCAGGCAAAAGGGACGUCAGUACGAAUAAUGUACCGAGUAUGUAAGGCACAUAAAUAAAUACAUAAGAGACGUGGAAGACAUAUAGAGUACAUGACUCAACCUGUAAGUAUGAAUAACUUUGUAGAACAUAAAUUACUUUUAGCGUCAUGCAUGUGCGUAUGAAUGUCAUGUCGUGCAUAGGUACAUGCUUCACAACAUCAUCGGCCUCUGAGGGCAUUCCAAUAUAUCAUACCGGCCACUGUGGGCAAAAUCAUCAUCAUAUACCAGCUGAUCAGGUGGUGGUGCGUAUAUAACGCCAUAACCUUUCUCAUAUCCCAUAUACAUAUAUUUACAUAUAUACGCGUAUAUAACGCCGUUUGAGUACAUACAUAUAUAUGCGUAUAUAACGUCGUUUGAAUCAUAUUUCUGCCACUAUGGGCAACAUCAUCAUCAUAUACCAGCUGAUCAGGUGGUGAUGCGUAUACAACGCCGUAACCUUUUCCCAUAUCCCAAAUACAUAUAUUUACAUAUAUACGCGUAUAUAACGCCAUCUGGUCAUGGGUCAGUGCACAUGAUUGCAGUGCAUAAAAAGUACGUCAAUAAAAUCAUUCGGACUGUCAUAAGACCAUUUUGCCUCUGAGUAAUAUCAUAAAGUAAACUCUUUUCAACUUUCGUAUUUUUUUGAGACCCAUGAACAGAUGAUAAAACAUUAUAACACACGGAAAUUCAGGAACACAGAUAUCUCUAAUACUUCUAUGAAUAGAGUCAUUCAGGGAAUUUGUGCAUUUGCACGUUCCGUUCGUAUCGUAUGGAUCAUGCCAAAAGAAAGAAGGGAUACCCUUAAAAUACCUGGAGUAGAAAAAACUCCGUAUAAUAUUUUCGUUGGAUUUUUCCUUGGUUGGAAAACAUUUUUGCUGAAGCUCGUUAAUGGCUAAACAUGAUCUAAUGCUUUCAAGACAAGGAAAGCUAACGUUUCCUUUCUAAUCUCAAAGCUCUAGGAAGUUUUUCACGUUUUUCUUGAGCAAGGAAGUUCAUUUGAUUUUUUUGUUAAGAUUUUGUACUGCCCAUGGAGCUUUCACGUUUUGGGGCAUUUGAAAAUCAUUUGAUAUUUGAUGAAA